rnacentral:rRNA from 1 species
GUCGAGAAUCAUUCGCAAUGGGGGAAACCCUGACGGUGCGACGCCGCGUGGAGGAUGAAGGUCUUCGGAUUGUAAACUCCUGUCAUCGGUGAGUAAGGCGCUGUCGGUGAAUAGCCGGCGGUGUUGAUAGUAGCCGAAGAGGAAGGGACGGCUAACUUCGUGCCAGCAGCCGCGGUAAUACGAAGGUCCCAAGCGUUGUUCGGAAUCACUGGGCGUAAAGGGUGCGUAGGCGGCGCGGUAAGUCAGAUGUGAAAGCCCGGGGCUCAACCCCGGAAUGGCAUCCGAUACUGCCGUGCUGGAGUAGUGGAGGGGGAUCUGGAAUUCACGGUGUAGCAGUGAAAUGCGUAGAUAUCGUGAGGAAGGCUCGUGGCGAAGGCGAGAUCCUGGACACUUACUGACGCUGAGGCACGAAGGCCAGGGGAGCGAAAGGGAUUAGAUACCCGAGUAGUCC